AGGUCCCGCAGCUCCCAGUCCUUUUCCACUGCACCCCACUGGACCGCCAGCUGCUUCUUAGGACCUGGCUAAUGAAGCAGAACGUGGCACCACUCCUGUCCUGGACGUUACCCACCUUCUCACUCUAGAUGGUAGAGAAGACCGUGGAUCACCUGGGGACACAGGUGAAAGGCCUGCUGGGCCUGCUAGAGGACCUGGCCUGGAACCUGCCCGGGGGACCCUUCAGCCCCGUCCCCGACCUCCUCGGAAAAGAUGGCUUCUGAGCCCCGGAGCUGGAGCCCAGCAGCUGGAGGUGGUGCACCUGCCAGGCAGCACCCUCUGAUAGCCAGCGCUGUCCUCUCGCCUUCCUUCCUCAGCUUCGUGUGAAAUAAAAGCUACUGUUUUUGGUC
ensembl:lncRNA PLAC9P1 placenta associated 9 pseudogene 1